rfam:Capsicum annuum cultivar Zunla-1 unplaced genomic scaffold scaffold349, whole genome shotgun sequence
UGAUGAUGGUGAGGGCAAUUUCUGAGCAUACCCUUAAAUCUCUCCCAAGCUUGGUAAAGAUUCUCUCUUUCUUUCUAUUUGAAACUCAGAAUCUCACUUCUCAAAUA